rnacentral:rRNA from 1 species
UGAGUAACACGUAUCCAACCUGCCGUCUACUCUUGGACAGCCUUCUGAAAGGAAGAUUAAUACAAGAUGGCAUCAUGAGUUCACAUGUUCACAUGAUUAAAGGUAUUCCGGUAGACGAUGGGGAUGCGUUCCAUUAGAUAGUGGGCGGGGUAACGGCCCACCUAGUCUUCGAUGGAUAGGGGUUCUGAGAGGAAGGUCCCCCACAUUGGAACUGAGACACGGUCCAA